rnacentral:tRNA from 1 species
GAGGUUGUGGCUCAGCUGUAGAGCACUCACCUAGCACGUAGGAGGUGCUGAGUUCGAGCCUCACCACCACA